AACGAACGCUGGCGGCAUGCCUAACACAUGCAAGUCGAACGAGACCUUCGGGUCUAGUGGCGCACGGGUGCGUAACGCGUGGGAACCUGCCCUUAGGUUCGGAAUAACUCCCCGAAAGGGGUGCUAAUACCGGAUAAUGCCUUCGGACCAAAGAUUUAUCGCCUUUGGAUGGGCCCGCGUUGGAUUAGCUAGUUGGUAGGGUAAAAGCCUACCAAGGCGACGAUCCAUAGCUGGUCUGAGAGGAUGAUCAGCCACACUGGGACUGAGACACGGCCCAGACUCCUCGGGAGGCAGCAGUGGGGAAUAUUGGACAAUGGGCGAAAGCCUGAUCCAGCAAUGCCGCGUGAGUGAUGAAGGCCUUAGGGUUGUAAAGCUCUUUUACCCGGGAUGAUAAUGACAGUACCGGGAGAAUAAGCGCCGGCUAACUCCGUG
rnacentral:rRNA from 1 species